GGGGCUGUAGCUCAGCUGGUCAGAGCGCUGGCCUGUCACGCCAGAAGUCGCGGGUUCAAGUCCCGUCAGCCCCGCCA
rnacentral:tRNA from 2 species